rnacentral:rRNA from 1 species
GUUUGGAAANAUGGCUCAGGACGAACGCUGGCGGCGUGCUUAACACAUGCAAGUCGAACGAUGAACCACUUCGGUGGGGAUUAGUGGCGAACGGGUGAGUAACACGUGGGCAAUCUGCCCUUCACUCUGGGACAAGCCCUGGAAACGGGGUCUAAUACCGGAUACUGACCCUUGCAGGCAUCUGCGAGGUUCGAAAGCUCCGGCGGUGAAGGAUGAGCCCGCGGCCUAUCAGCUUGUUGGUGAGGUAAUGGCUCACCAAGGCGACGACGGGUAGCCGGCCUGAGAGGGCGACCGGCCACACUGGGACUGAGACACGGCCCAGACUCCUACGGGAGGCAGCAGUGGGGAAUAUUGCACAAUGGGCGAAAGCCUGAUGCAGCGACGCCGCGUGAGGGAUGACGGCCUUCGGGUUGUAAACCUCUUUCAGCAG